rnacentral:rRNA from 1 species
GUYUUUUUGAUUAAAAUUUAAAGUCGGGCCUGCCCACUGAAAAUUUUAAAUGGCCGUGGUAUUUUGACCGUGCUAAGGUAGCAUAAUCAUUAGUUUUUUAAUUGAAAGCUGGAAUGAAAGGUUUGAUAAGAAAAUAACUGUCUCUAUUUAAUUUUAUUAAAAAUUUAUUUUUAAGUUCAAAAGCUUAAAUUUGAUUAAAAGACGAGAAGACCCUAUAGAGUUUAAUAAUUUAAAAUAAUUUUUAUUUUAGAAUUAAUUUAUUUAUUUUUAAGAAUUAUUUGAUUGGGGUGAUUGAAAAAUUUAAUUAACUUUUUUUAUAUUUAACCAUUAAUUUAUGAUAAUUUGAUCCAGUUUUUUUGAUUAUAAGAUAAAAUUACCUUAGGGAUAACAGCGUAAUUUUUUUAGAAAGUUCAAAUUAAAAGAAAAGAUUGCGACCUCGAUGUUGGAUUAAAAUUAAAUUUUGGUGUAGAAGCUAAAAAUUUUAAGUCUGUUCGACUUUUAAAAUUUUACA